UCAACUCGCCCGGAGCCGAGCAAGUUGAAGUGUCAGAUUACAUUGGCUAUUCUAUUUCCAAAGGGCCCCGCGCCGCCGGCCGGCCGCAAAAGCCGGUGCGGAACUGGGGGAGGAGGGAGGAGCGGAGCGCAGCGCCAACGCCGCCGCCGCCGCCGCCAGCGCUCAGCUCGGCUUCCCUAGCGCUCUCUGCGGUCUCGCCUUUCUCGCGGUCUCUUCGCCUGUCUUUCUCUCCCUUUCCUUUCCCUCUUUUUCUCCUUUUUUUCCGAGCGUCUCGGUCUGGGCGCUCUCCAGGCUUUUUCCCCUCUAGGGCUCCGAUAGGCUUCGUGCGUCACCCACUCCCCUACUCCCACUCACCUCCUCUCUCUUCCCUCCACUGCUCUCUGGAAGCUCCCACCCACCCCCUCCCUAACUGCGACCUCACCCCUAGCUGCCCCAGCAAGUUUGGAGCAGGAGAGAAAUGCUGAACCUAAGAUGUGUUCAUACUGGGAAGGAGGCUGAAAUCACCAGUCUCAGCGGAGUGUCCCCCGCUCUGCUCUCACGCCCCCGACAGGAGUGCGCUCGGGGCUGCGAAAGCUGUCAGGUACCAGUACUAGGGCUGAGCGAGUUGCUAAAGAGAUUGCCAAAGCCUUCCGCUGGAGAAGGCUUUGGGGUUGUUCCUAAAGCCCGGGGGCUGGCGGGUGGGGGGAGCAGAGGACGCCAGCCCCCUCCCACCAAAGGCAAUGUUGGAGGAGGCUGGAGCGCCGGGUAGAAGCGGUGCGCAAGGUCUGUCCCCGCACUCUCUGCGGUCCAAAAGCGCUUGGAUUCCCCAAGGCCCCGCGGGGAACAUCCCAGGCCCAAAGUGCGCGGGCGGUGGGCGGCGGGGGCUGGGGGUGGGCGGGCGAGAAGGGAGCGGUGGCGCAGGAUUCCGGCUUAGGGCUGUGCACUGUCCCAGGAGUCGGGGAGAAAGAUGGCACUCACAAGGUGUAGUUGGAUACAGCCGCUCGCGGGGUUCCCCAGGCAGACCCACCCUUGAGAGCAUCUAA
rnacentral:lncRNA from 1 species